rnacentral:sRNA from 1 species
CAACCAAGCGCGGGUC